rnacentral:lncRNA from 1 species
AGAUAUUCAGGUUUAUGCCAUAUGGUUCAGAAGUUAGUUAACAUAUUGAAACAGAUGGAUGCAAAGGAUCCUUUUCGAGUUGACAUGACUGACAAGCUUUUGGAAAAACUGUAAGUUCAUUUUUAUUCACUCUCAUAUCAUGUGAACAUAUGAUACCCCAUCAAUUGAUAUAUUAAUAAAAUAUAUUAUUGAACACGGGAAGUCAUAUAUCAAUUACAGCAAUAUACUUGCUGUCCCAGAGACAAAAGUAUUUGCCUUAUUGUACACCUUCUAUCAGAUGUAAUUGUAAUACAUAUCUGCCAUUGUGCAGAGAGUACUGAACUAAUGGUGCCUUGUACAAGUUACUCAUUUUUUUUAUUCUU